UUAUUGAUAUUUUUUAUUCUUUUUUCUCUCUCUUUUUUCCUCGUCAUUUCCGUUAAAUAUUUCUAAUCCAGCAAUGUCUUCGACCACCACAAGUUCACAUCUCAGUUGGAUCCGUCGUAUACGCUAACGGAAAGCAUCCGACCUCCACCCCCUCUCGAUCCGCUAACAUGGACCGUCGGUAGGACAAACGGCGGCGGUAGCAGAAGUGGUGGCGGCGAUGCUCAACCGCAGCAGCAGCAGAGAGGGUUUGGUUCAACGGUAUCCAGAAUCAUAAGGAUCGCAGUGUUCUGGUACUUCGCUUCAAAGUUCUUUUCGCCUAAGCAGAAAUCGAUGGAUCCUUCUCAGACUCAUCACCUCAUGACCAAUCUCUACCACAAGGGUGAAUCUUUGGAUAUGUGGUUUUCUCUACCAGAGCAAGAGAAGUUCAGUGACUUUAGCAAUAAAGGUGCGCUCUAUUGGCUUGAGACGAAUACACCUUAUGCUGUAUGGACACCAGAGAGUAUCAGGACCCGAUCACUCAAGUAUUAUCCAUCUGAGACAAUACAAAAUAAUGGAAGUCUGUAUGCUCAUGUCUUCUUUGUUCGAUCUGAAGUUGACAAAUAACAGCCAGCGUUGAGACAGAUACAUAGCUCCAGGAGAUUGUCUCGUUUCUCUCGUGUAACUGCGUGGGUGGAGGAAAAGCUUACGUCUUCCGUAGGCGGCGCGUGAAGACCGGUGAUUGUUACAGCGAAUUUUGAAUACUUACAUUAGUGUCGAUGAAUACCAUUUCAAUGGUCAGACCAUUGGCGGCUGAGUACUGCCUCCAAAGACGGAUGAUCUUAACUCGGAUUCUCCACAUUGACUUGAAAGUCUUAAGCUCAGAAACUGUGUUCAUGGCCGCGAUUGUAAAAUAAAUAUAGAAUGUUUGUAGUUUGAUAGAGGAUGUGUAUUGAACUACAUAUAGACAAAAUCAUUAUAUAUUAAUAAUGUUUCCAAUAACGAUGGUGGUCGUAUUAACUAUACAAUAUCACUUAUGGCA